GAAUUUGUGACCCGAAAUAACAAAUGAAGCACAAACAACCAGAAAAAACCCGAAAGAAAAACCAAUGUAGGAAAUUUAAAACGCUCCUUUUGCCAAAAUAUAGAGCGGAAAACGAAAAAAAAAAUGUUAUCAGAUUGUGGGUAAAAAUGUUUGUACGGAAUCUAAUCAAAGUCAAUUUUUAACAAUGAACAAACACAGAGCAAAACGGAGGCAAUGGCCAAAGGAAAAAGGACUCAACCAAAUAACCGUUGAGGCUUGAAAAGAGCAUAACAUACAAAAUGGACCGACCACAUCAUUCCAGCAUGCAUGGGUCACAUUCGCUGUUAAACAGUAAACAAUCUAAAUAUCUAUGGACAUUUUAGCCUUUGAGGCAAAUUGCAGGUCAAAAGAUUUGGAAGUGGUGAUAAACAUACGAAUAGAAAACAUUUUUACAAAAUUUUCCAAUUAAAGAAAAUUUAAACCAAAA